GACGAACGCUGGCGGCGUGCCUAAUACAUGCAAGUCGAACGCAUUUUCUUUCACCGUAGCUUGCUACACCGAAAGAAAAUGAGUGGCGAACGGGUGAGUAACACGUGGGUAACCUGCCCAUCAGCGGGGGAUAACACUUGGAAACAGGUGCUAAUACCGCAUAAUUCCAUUUACUGCAUGGUAGAUGGAUGAAAGGCGCUUUUGCGUCACUGAUGGAUGGACCCGCGGUGCAUUAGCUAGUUGGUGGGGUAACGGCCUACCAAGGCUGCGAUGCAUAGCCGACCUGAGAGGGUGAUCGGCCACACUGGGACUGAGACACGGCCCAGACUCCUACGGGAGGCAGCAGUAGGGAAUCUUCGGCAAUGGACGCAAGUCUGACCGAGCAACGCCGCGUGAGUGAAGAAGGUUUUCGGAUCGUAAAACUCUGUUGUUAGAAAAGAACAAGGAUGAGAGUGGAAAGUUCAUCCCUUGACGGUAUCUAACCAGAAAGCCCCGGCUAACUACGUG
rnacentral:rRNA from 1 species